CCACAGUAGAAAUCGCCCUAGUUUUCUCUGAAGAGUGGUACGAUUUGGGAAGUGAGCAGGCAGGGGGCAGAGUGUGAGCAACAUGAAUUUGAUGGGGAUGGAGCGGAAGCAUAGUAAUAUCUAGCACAUAGGGAAGGAGUGUUGGGAUUAGGAGAUUUACUCGGAUCCUACAUAAAUAUUGUUCAAAUAAAUGGCCGGGAUGCAUCGUGCAUCUGUCGAUGCAUGCUCUAGUAGAAAUGACUAGUUUGCUAACUAGCCUGGUGCUAUACUUGUAAGCUAUAAUGUACUACUACUAAGGAAUAAAUGGAACCUGGUUCUCCUUGUGCUCUUAA